rnacentral:rRNA from 1 species
CCUACGGGAGGCAGCAGUGGGGAAUAUUGGGCAAUGGGCGCAAGCCUGACCCAGCAACGCCGCGUGAAGGAAGAAGGCUUUCGGGUUGUAAACUUCUUUUCUCAGGGACGAAGCAAGUGACGGUACCUGAGGAAUAAGCCACGGCUAACUACGUGCCAGCAGCCGCGGGAAUACGUGGGUGGCAAGCGUUAUCCGGAUUUACUGGGUGUAAAGGGCGUGUAGGCGGGAAAGCAAGUCAGAUGUGAAAACCAUGGGCGCAACCUGUGGCCUGCAUUUGAAACUGAUUUUCUUGAGUACUGGAGAGGCAGACGGAAUGCCUAGUGUAGCGGUGAAAUGCGUAGAUAUUAGGAGGAACACCAGUGGCGAAGGCGGUCUGCUGGACAGCAACUGACGCUGAGGCGCGAAAGCGUGGGGAGCGAACAGGAUUAGAUACCCCUGUAGUC